GACGAACGCUGGCGGCGUGCCUAAUACAUGCAAGUAGAACGCACAGUUUAUACCUUAGCUUGCUCCACCAUAGACUGUGAUUUGCGUACGCGUGAGUUACGCGUAGUUAACCUGCCUGGUAUCUGGUGAUAACUAUUGUAAACGUUAUCUAAUACCUCAUAAUAUUUAUUAUUGCAUGAUAAUUUAUUUUAUGUUUCAAUCGCACCACUUCCUGUUGUACCUGCGUUGUAUUAGCUAGUUGGUGAGGUAACGGCUCACCUAGGCGAGGAUACAUAUCCGACCUGAGAGGGUGAUCGGCAAAACUGGGACUGAGACAAGGCCCAGAAUCCUACGGGAGGCAGCAGUAGGGAAUCAUCGGCAAUGGACGAAAGUCUGAACGAGCAAAGCCGAGUGAGUGAAGAAGGGUUUCGGAUCGUAAAGCUCUGUUGUAAGAGAAGAAAGGGGGUGAGAGUGGAAAGUUCACAAUGUGACGGUAUCUUAACAGAAAGGGACGGCUAACUACGUG
rnacentral:rRNA from 1 species